rnacentral:rRNA from 1 species
UACGUAGGGGGCGAGCGUUGUCCGGAUUUAUUGGGCGUAAAGAGCUCGUAGGCGGCUUGGCAAGUCGGGUGUGAAACCUCCAGGCUCAACCUGGAGACGCCACUCGAUACUGCCAUGGCUAGAGUCCGGUAGGGGACCACGGAAUUCCUGGUGUAGCGGUGAAGUGCGCAGAUAUCAGGAGGAACACCGGUGGCGAAGGCGGUGGUCUGGGCCGGCACUGACGCUGAGGAGCGAAAGCGUGGGUAGCAAACAGG